ACCAUGCCCAGCCUCCAGUAGUGUAUUUAAUUCAACAACCCCAUAAACUGUCUUGCCCAGACACCAAGUCCAUUGCCUUAUGAAUCCCACGCAUGGCAGCUAGGCAGGCAGUUAAGAAUUGAUUCCUUUUGAAUAUGGACAAAGAAAGAAAUGGGCCAGAACCAAGAUCCCUUGCAUUGGUAAAAUUUCCCUAAGAUUGAAGUAACAAGUGUAUAAUAGUUCUGCCAGAGCAAUAUUGAGUUUUACCAGUACUGGCAGGCAGAGUAGCCAUUCAGAAUCACUAAAUGGCUUUGUGUUGUAAAAACACUCAGGGAAGAUGUAUAUUAACAAACUACCAAAUAGGAUGCUAACAAAAGAAAUAGAGACGGAAAAAGAAGACCACCAGGAGAUGAAAGAAUGGUUUUCUAAAAAUUAAGAAAAAGUGUUAUCUUUACAUAAACUGUCCCCUUUGGUCACUUUAGAAUUUAGAAUAUAUAGUCUAAUAAUGUUUUAACUAUAAAGCUGUAUCUGAGAGUUUAAAAAUAAUUCAAAAUACAGUGAAGGGGCAGGAAUUUGGGGCUGACCCCAAAACUUAAUUUAAGCCAAGUUUGUCUUAAAAUCAUACAAGUGUUAU
rnacentral:lncRNA from 10 species